AUUGAACGCUGGCGGCAUGCCUUACACAUGCAAGUCGAACGGCAGCACGGGUGCUUGCACCGGGUGGCGAGUGGCGAACGGGUGAGUAAUACAUCGGAACAUGUCCUGUAGUGGGGGAUAGCCCGGCGAAAGCCGGAUUAAUACCGCAUACGAUCUACGGAUGAAAGCGGGGGACCUUCGGGCCUCGCGCUUUAGGGUUGGCCGAUGGCGGCUUAGCGAGUUGGUGGGGUAAAGGCCUACCAAGGCGACGAUCAGUAGCUGGUCUGAGAGGACGACCAGCCAGACUGGGACUGAGACACGGCCCAGACUCCUACGGGAGGCAGCAGUGGGGAAUUUUGGACAAUGGGCGAAAGCCUGAUCCAGCAAUGCCGCGUGUGUGAAGAAGGCCUUCGGGUUGUAAAGCACUUUAGUCCGGAAAGAAAUCCUUGGCCCUAAUACGGUCGGGGGAUGACGGUACCGGAAGAAUAAGCACCGGCUAACUACGUG
rnacentral:rRNA from 1 species